rnacentral:rRNA from 1 species
AUGCUGGAGGUAUCAGAAGUGCGAAUGCUGACAUAAGUAACGAUAAAGCGGGUGAAAAGCCCGCUCGCCGGAAGACCAAGGGUUCCUGUCCAACGUUAAUCGGGGCAGGGUGAGUCGACCCCUAAGGCGAGGCCGAAAGGCGUAGUCGAUGGGAAACAGGUUAAUAUUCCUGUACUUGGUGUUACUGCGAAGGGGGGACGGAGAAGGCUAUGUUGGCCGGGCGACGGUUGUCCCGGUUUAAGCGUGUAGGCUGGUUUUCCAGGCAAAUCCGGAAAAUCAAGGCUGAGGCGUGAUGACGAGGCACUACGGUGCUGAAGCAACAAAUGCCCUGCUUCCAGGAAAAGCCUCUAAGCAUCAGGUAACAUCAAAUCGUACCCCAAACCGACACAGGUGGUCAGGUAGAGAAUACCAAGGCGCUUGAGAGAACUCGGGUGAAGGAACUAGGCAAAAUGGUGCCGUAACUUCGGGAGAAGGCACGCUGAUAUGUAGGUGAAGUCCCUUGCGGAUGGAGCUGAAAUCAGUCGAAGAUACCAGCUGGCUGCAACUGUUUAUUAAAAACACAGCACUGUGCAAACACGAAAGUGGACGUAUACGGUGUGACGCCUGCCCGGUGCCGGAAGGUUAAUUGAUGGGGUCAGCGCAAGCGAAGCUCUUGAUCGAAGCCCCGGUAAACGGCGGCCGUAACUAUAACGGUCCUAAGGUAGCGAAAUUCCUUGUCGGGUAAGUUCCGACCUGCACGAAUGGCGUAAUGAUGGCCAGGCUGUCUCCACCCGAGACUCAGUGAAAUUGAACUCGCUGUGAAGAUGCAGUGUACCCGCGGCAAGACGGAAAGACCCCGUGAACCUUUACUAUAGCUUGACACUGAACAUUGAGCCUUGAUGUGUAGGAUAGGUGGGAGGCUUUGAAGUGUGGACGCCAGUCUGCAUGGAGCCGACCUUGAAAUACCACCCUUUAAUGUUUGAUGUUCUAACGUGGACCCGUGAUCCGGGUUGCGGACAGUGUCUGGUGGGUAGUUUGACUGGGGCGGUCUCCUCCUAAAGAGUAACGGAGGAGCACGAAGGUUGGCUAAUCCUGGUCGGACAUCAGGAGGUUAGUGCAAUGGCAUAAGCCAGCUUGACUGCGAGCGUGACGGCGCGAGCAGGUGCGAAAGCAGGUCAUAGUGAUCCGGUGGUUCUGAAUGGAAGGGCCAUCGCUCAACGGAUAAAAGGUACUCCGGGGAUAACAGGCUGAUACCGCCCAAGAGUUCAUAUCGACGGCGGUGUUUGGCACCUCGAUGUCGGCUCAUCACAUCCUGGGGCUGAAGUAGGUCCCAAGGGUAUGGCUGUUCGCCAUUUAAAGUGGUACGCGAGCUGGGUUUAGAACGUCGUGAGACAGUUCGGUCCCUAUCUGCCGUGGGCGCUGGAGAACUGAGGGGGGCUGCUCCUAGUACGAGAGGACCGGAGUGGACGCAUCACUGGUGUUCGGGUUGUCAUGCCAAUGGCACUGCCCGGUAGCUAAAUGCGGAAGAGAUAAGUGCUGAAAGCAUCUAAGCACGAAACUUGCCCCGAGAUGAGUUCUCCCUGACCCUUUAAGGGUCCUGAAGGAACGUUGAAGACGACGACGUUGAUAGGCCGGGUGUGUAAGCGCAGCGAUGCGUUGAGCUAACCGGUACUAAUGAACCGUGAGGCUUAACCUUACAACGCCGAAGCUGUU